rnacentral:lncRNA from 1 species
CAGAUCACUUCUGCAGCUUUUGGAUCUGCAGCCUGGACUUCCUCUGGUCCUGAGGAGAGCUCUGAGGAGCUGCGGGCCUCGGGCCCAUUCAGGUGCACUGCUUAUUGGGAUGCAGGAACGAGUAGCCUCAACGCCACCACUUAACAAAUCACCUUAUUCUCUGCCAUUUGACUCAUGGAAUGGCUCUAAGGAGGCUGUGAUGCAUGCGAAGGAAAGCAACUGACUUAACUCAUUGGGAUUCAGGGAACGACCUGCCCUCUUUUGGAAAGAAAAAAAAAUAGAAGAAGGAGAAGGAGAAGAGUAAGUGUGCGUGUGUGUGUGUGUGUGCGUGUGCGUGCGUGUGCGUGCAUGUUCGUGUGAGAGAGAGGGAGAGGGGAGGGGGAGAUACACACAGUGCUGCUUUCCUGAGCUGCCGCUUCCCAAGCAGAAACUAUCGGGAGAAACGCAGCGUCUUGGCUCUUUCCUGCAUUUACACAAUGAAAUCACUGCUGUUUUUAUUCCUGCUAACGGGCCGCUUUUGUUUGCAUCCACUCCGAGACAUGGACGAUGGGAACAAAUAAGUGCUUAAGAUCAAAUAGACAAAAAAAAAAAAAAAAAAAGAGAGAGAAAAAAAAGCCCAACCACGCUGGGAUGCUGGGAUGAGGAUUACUCACUUUAGCUCUGACUGUAAGUACAAAUCUCCUGCUGCAUUUCUGUGAGCUACUGAGAGGCUGUUACGGUUUGGGUUUGGGUUGUUCAGGUUUGGCUUGCUUCUUUGUUGUUCUCUCUCUCUCUCUUUUUAAUAUCAUCGCCUCUUUAUCAGCCCCCUGCUGAGUUACUCAAAUAAGGCAAAAUCCAGGAGAGGGAGAGCAGCCCCGCAUAAAGCAGAGCAGAGCGGAGUCAGGAGCAGGAGGCAGGGAGGUAGGGAGGCAGAAGACAAGGGCGGGAGGCAGGGAGGUAAGGAGGUAAGGAGGUAGGAGACAGGAGAUGGGGAGGUAGGGAGAUAGAAGCAGGGAGGCAAAAGGCAGAAGGCAGGAGGCAGACGAGCUGCGGGAGUCCUGCGAUCACAGGCAGCGUGCUGGAAUGUUGGGUCUCGGUGGUGCUGGGGGCACAGGGGUAUUUUCAACAUCAAUUUGUGGGCUUAGCUGGGCUGGAAAAGCAUUUUUCUGACACGAGCCUGUGUGCGCCUGCAUGUGUGCAUACAAAUCCUUAGGCAGCGUGGUCUUGCUUGAGUUUCUUUGGUGCAACGUGAGCAUGCCCAGCUUGAAGGAAUGCGGUGGACAAAACAUCUUUCCAGCUGGUUUUAUUUUGUUUUGUUGGUUUUUUUUGGUUCUGAGAUUUUGUUUUUUCCCUCAAGCGUACAAGUGACAGCAGGACUCUUCCCCGGCAGGACUUGAUUUAAAUAACCAAGAUAAAAACUGCCUUACGCUCUCCUCAGCCAGCUGCUUUUCUCCCCCUCCCCUCCUUUCUUCCUUUCUUUACAUAUGUGAGCAUUCCUGGGAAAGCAGAUCGGGCAGAGGGAAAGGCUUUUGAAACGGUGGGGGAAAAUGUAAGAGAAUUCAGAGGGUCCGGGCUUUCUUUGUGUGGUGCUGAAGCCGCGGAGCUGCUUUGUGCUUUGGAAGGAGAAAAUGGCGAGUCCUAUUGUGUUUAGGCCAUUUUCUUCCGGUACAAGGGUUUUUCCCCAAAUCCUAAAUACUUCAGGGCUCUUUUGAAAGAAGUCUCCCAGCCCACGAAGAGUGAAUGGCUGCAGCUCUGCCUUUUCCCCAGCCAGUAAUGCCUCCUGUUUGAGAGAGCCCACAGAUUUCUCCUCACAAGGCGGCUGCACAAUUCCUACAGCCACUGCCUGCAGAGCCUCUCUCAUAGGAGCAGCAAUUAAAGCUGCUCUUACCACGUUCUUCAGUUCACGGGGACAGGUUACGGGAAGAAAGGACACUGAAGAAAUAAUGACCUAAGCACUGUCCUUGCUAUAAAAUGCUAAGGAGAAACGUUACCCAGCUAGGGGAGGGGGGAAAUUCAUCAGAGAAAAGACUUGUGAACCAUGGAGUGAGGAUCUGACUUACAUAUGAAAUUAUUCGAACUUUAUAUAUAUGUAUAUAUGUGUUUGAGAGAGAGUGCAUGUAUGUGCAUACGCAUGCAGCCACACAGAUGGAGAGUACUUUAGGUUAGGAAAGAGGUUGUGGAGAUUUAUUGUGAGGUUUUAGAGCACAUUUAACCAUUGUCGGCAAGUUAUUCCUGCUGUAAUAUGCAAAGAAAAGAGAGUACACAACAUUUCAAGUCACCCUGGAGGCUAUACCCCUUACCGAAAGUCGCCUCUGAAUUUGUACGUUAAUCCGUUUAAGGAAACAAUUGAGAGUCUGAGGUUUUAAGACCGUUGUCAGAUAUUAACCACUUUUCUUUAUAACAUAGGCUUGCCUAGGUGUCAGUGAUUAAAAGCACUUUGUAACCGGGGAGCUAUCAAAUAAACCCCAGGAAAGGCAGAUUCCAGCCCCCUCCCCUUCCGAGGUGCUGAAUAAAGGCAUAUAUCUAUGAUUACUGCUAAUAAUAAUAGAGCUGAAGCAGUCCCUUCGCCCUUGGCGGCAGCUGCCGGCCCUAGCAGCGCCCGGCGCCCGCCCGCCGGUCAGCACCAUGGACAGAGCGCGGGCGUGCGGCGGGCGCGGAGAGGAUGUCACCCCGCGGGGACGCGGGGUCACCCGGGCUGUCCGCACUCACAGGGCGGCGGGAUGCUCCGCCGGGCCGCCCUCCUCGCCUUCCUUUCCUUGUGACUGCCAGAGUUCCCGAACAAAAGACUGAAGAAAUGACAUUUAGAAUCUUCCGUCAUGAGAGCAAGCUCUAUUGCAGUGCCACACUAGCGCUUUCUCUUCUUACUGCCUGUAAAAGAAGUAGAAAGAUUUCUCCAUUCUGCAUAAGGCUGCUUUUUUUUCCCCUUUCCUUUCCAAGACAAAAAUAAAUCUACUGCUUGGAUCAGCUGAAUGACAGUGGUGUAAAUUAAAUUGAUUUUAUCAGUGAUCAAGUUCCACAAUUGGAAAAAUUAAAUGCCACUUUGACAGACAAGGAUAAUAUGGAGCAGAUCUAUAAGUUGGCUCCUUUGAACAACAACAACAACAGUGUCAACCCAACAGGAGGCCAGGUAGUGGUGAUCCCUUCUUCUUCAUCCCGCUCUGUUAUGUCACAUCAUUAAGUUUGCCUUUCUGCGGCACUGAAAUGAUUGAGACCAUUGUUUGAUGCAAAGAGACUGACAGUGAUGAGUCAUGGACUUCAUGCCACAGCAAAGGCAACAGACAGACAUGGCUCUCAGGCAAAUUUCUCUUUUAUUUCACUCACGCUUCCAAUCGGACUCCCCUUUCAGAUGCACUUUGCUGCCCUUCCAGCUCAUCCCAAAGCUCUGCAGCUGCCAGCACCAAACCCAGAGCUGAGCUCUGAGAACAACAACCAGCUCUGUGGCCACUUAGGAAUGGCGCAAACGUGCACAUGAGGUCUGUUGGACAGAAAACCCGACUUCUUUGCCUCCCAUUGGCCCUUCUGAGAGGAGGCCUUGAGCGACCUCAAGGCUCUGCAGAGCACCGCAGCACUCCAGAGCCGCAGAGCGGGCAUAGGACUGUGCUGCCCAGAGCCUGCCCGUGCCGCAGCGGGGACAAAGCCCAUGAAAGCUAUGGACACACAAGGGCUGGGGGUGGCAAUGGUGCAGUAAGGAGGGGUCAGUGACUGUUUUGGGAGAGUGGCCUCUGGGUGAGCCUGAGAGCGGACUCCUCUUCCUCGCUUUGACUGUAUGGAUUCAUGUGACAUUGAGGCUGGGAAGGUGGGAGGAAGGCGGAGUGGGGGGGAGGGAGAGGAGCCGGAGGGAAGGGGGAGGGUUGAACUUUCCGCCGGGUUCGGCUUUUCACACCUUUCUCUCCCCAUCGUGAGAGAGGACGUUUGGGGGAGAGAGCGGCCCGGCGGGGUCCCCUCCGAGCGGGUCCCCCUCGACCUUGCAGGGACCCGGGCGGCGCGGGGCUGGGAUUGUGCCGGAUUUCAAGGACACGGGAGAUGAUCGGGACUUUGGGAGCCAACAUCUGCCUGGCUGGUGACGUCAGCAGCCCCGUGUAAUCCUCUUGUACUGAAGGCAGAUGCCUUAUUUGUUUGGCUGGAGAGGCAUUAAUCCCUAAUUCUGGAGCAGCAAGCGAGGGGGAGAGACCGGACCGCUUCUUACCCCCCGACAGCCGCUCGCGGGGUUCUCCUCCUCUUUGCGCUCUGUGGCUCCGGUUGGGCGGAGGACGAGCCAGCCCUCGGCAGGUUUGACCAUUUGCUUUUUUAUUACUUUUUUUUAAUAUAUAUGUUUGGAGAGGGGUCACGAUUUCUGUUUUUGCUUGUUGUUGUUUGGAUGCUUGGAUUUCUCCCCAUGGAUUUGGCUCUCUGCGCUCCUCAAACCGAGAAAGAAAAGGGAACUGCUGUGUUGUUGGUUUUUAUUCCCCUCCACUAUCAUCCAUUUUCCUCCUUUAAAUAUAUAUGUAUUUUGGGGGGGAGGGAAAGGGCAGGCUGGAUGUUUCCUCAGUAGCGGGCAGGAGUUCGCCCCGUGCCGGUUCCCAUCGCGCUGCAGAGCCCCGAGCGCCCUCCCGCCCCGGCUCUGCGGUGAUGGGCGUUUCGCCUCUCCCUGCUCGGCCGCAGAGGCUGGGGGCUGGCCGGCCCCAGUUCCGCGUCAGUCCGCGGCCCCCCUCCGCUUCCCUUUCCAUCCCUUCCCUUCCUCCCCAUCCCCUUCCCUCCCCGCCCUUCCCCUGCUCUGCCUCCCCCCUCUCUCCCUUUUGUCAUUGGCAACCGCGCGGCGUGCGGGCUCCCGGAGCCCGUCCCUCCCCGCCUGCCUUUCUAAUUCUCUCGCUUUGUCUCUUUUCCAGGCGCCCGCACGCAGGAGCCGCGCUGCCGAGGGCGGGCCUGAGCCUUCUGCCCGCCUCGCCCCCGGAUGCCCCGGCAAGCGGCGGAACAGCCCCCGGGAAGCCCACCUCGCCGCCGGAGCCCAGCGCAGCGUAGCCCUCUCCCUCCCGGGCCCAGGACCCCGGCAGCAGUCGAGGUCAGCCCGCACGGUUCGGGGGGUCCGGCCGGGUCGGUGCUCCCGGCGUGCCGGCGGCACAGGGGCACAACGGUCCCGUCCUGAGCGCUGAGAGGCGGCCGCAACCGUAACAAUAAGAAUACAAAGCGUAGGCUGUUUUUUAUUUUUUUUUUAAUUAUUAUUAUUAUUCUAAUGAGUUCAUCCCUCAUUUCCUCGCUCGCACAGCUCGGUGUAGGCAGGCCAGAUGGGCUGCCCCGACCCUCCCGGGAAAAGGGCAGGUGCGAGCGAGUUACAUUUUUUUUUUUCCUCUUUACAAAGCGAGAUGCCACGUCCCGGCCUUUCGCUUCCCCCCGCCGCCCCCGGCCAGGAGGAGCGGUGCGCCCCGGGCUGCGGUUCCCCCGGGCCGAGCGGGCCCUGCGGCCGCUGUGCGCUCACAACCGUCGGGGCGCUGACGCCCGGCGAGGACGAAAUUACCGCCUGGGAGUGCGCGAUCGGCACACGCUUCAUUUCUGUGAUUUUUCUUUUUAGUCUAUUACGUGCUUAUCGAACAGCUUCCUGGGCAUUGCAAACAGCAGAUGGGCGAGUAGGAAAAUUGGAGAGCGAAUUGCACCCAGCCCAGGAUGGGACCGCGGCGGAAGGGAACCGCCUUUUUUUUUUUUUUCCUUUUUUCUUUCUUUUUCUUUUUUUCUUUUUUUUUUUCUUUCUUCUUAUAUUUUUUUCCCCCGGAGAUCCGUCGCUAUUCUAUUUCCAGAGAGAACGCGCGUGAGCGCUCCCAGGCUCUGCCUCUCCGUGUUCACAGCGGACCUUGAUUUAAUGUCAUACAAUUAAGGCACGCGGUGAAUGCCAAGAGCGGAUCCUCCAGGCGGCAUUAAGGAACUCGCUAAGCAUAACGCUACCAAUAAAACCAAUAGCAGCCUGUCUCGAAUCCGAAAGGAGAGGGGAAAAAAAAAGAAAAAAAAAAAGAAAAUCCCCGAUCCGAACCCCUCCUCCGUGUGCGGCUGAAAGCACCGCGUUUGUGAACGAGGGAUCUGCGCGCACCUCGUCCUCCCCACCCGCAGCGCUGUACAGACGGGACGUAUUUAUUUGUUCUUCUUUGGGUGACCCUCCCGCCCCGCCGGUAGUUCUCAUGUGUUUUAAGGUCAGGGGCCCUUCUGUGCGGUUUACUUUCUAAUGCUUCUAAAAAUUCUGUUUAUGGAUGAACUUGAAACUGUGUGCCAAGUGUUGAAAGCCGUUUAUUUGCCAACACCGUCUAACCGGAACUGUCGCUGUACCCGAGCUGCUGAGGUUUCUGAAAGGUCAUCUUGGAUUUUUUUGAGUUGCAUCAUCCCUUUGUAUUUCAAUUGAGCUUUAAUAAAUCGCUUCAGUCCAAAAAAAAAAAAAAGAAAAAAAAAAAAAAAAAAGACAGGAAAGGUGUAUUCUUCGUGGCUCGGCCACUGAGUUGGGAAAGGGCUUCGCGUUAGGGCAGGUGGUGGCCGUUCCCUUCACCCGGGCGCAGAGCAAAAGCUGCUAACGCGAAUAUCGCCAACGCUUCGCAGGGCGCUGUGCUUUCAGAGGUGUCUUUUGGGGCGCUUCGAACGCGUACGUAAAUCAUUCCUUCCGACCGCGGAUGAUAUACUUGAAGUUGAAACACUCGAAAAUACUUCGGGCUCGUUUGCCGACGGCGUGGAGUUCUUUUCUUUUUCGGGGGGGUGGGGAGGGAAGGUGGGGUGGGGGUUUUUUUUUGGGGGGGGGGGUGGAGGGGGGGGGGGGGGAGAUGAAGAGCAAGAAGGAGCUAUUUCCCCAAAGUGAGCCUUCCGCUUGAGUUUGCAUGGCUGGGUGCUGCCUCUCUGCCAGUUGUAAAGCCGGAUUUUGUAAUGAUUCUUUUCUUUCCUUCCCUCCCCGACCCCGAGUCGUGCUAUUUCCCACUCCUCGCAGAUAAUAUAAAUUCGGACUGUCAGGUUGGAUGGCGCAGUGGGAGCCGUGAUGGAUCUGUUGGCAGGUCACGGAUGUGUAAAGAGUGAUAUAUAUUAAAUAGGUCAAUCAGAUUAUGACAGCAAUGUACGAUCGUUUGUAUGUGUAUCUAUGUCGGAAAGAAUCUUUAUUAAAAUAUUUUGAACAAACGUUUGCAAUCGCGCUGUGCUCUGUGUUAAGCAUUUACCUCCAGAUUUAAGGAGGUGGACGGGUGGGGGGG